GGCUCUACCAAUGUCUUGAUUUCAAACUUCCAGUCUCCAGAACUAGGCCAAAUGGAGGCUUCCCAAGGACAAGACUCUUUGGGAACACUAAGAGGCAACACCCUUGGCAUGGGCUACGUUCUCAUGAUGGACAGUGACCCUGAAAAGUUUCAGCCUUGGCAAAGCCUGAGCAAGUGACCCUGCAAGCAGAAGCUGGACAUGUGGGAGCUGUGGCAGAAGCAAAAUAACAAGGCGGAAGACCAUGGCAACUGCGAAAGAAAGACUGUCUCCUGCUGCUGCCACCAUUGGCUGCGCCCCUACCUGGAAACCAGCUAUCAAGGGAGCCGGGGGCAAUAGGUGGCAGGAAUCAGAGACUCCUGGAAACAGAAGAGGAAGAGGACACUGCCAUGGAGAACAGAGAAGUUGAGGCCAUGUGCUAGGCUUGUCCUGUUUUGCUCUUAGAUGUAUUCUCUGUCCCCAUUCUACCCUGUUCGUAUCACAGAGAAUUACUUUUUCCUUGUUCCUUUGCCCUCUGGUUUCUGGGUCAGUUCAGCCAUUGGAUGGCCCUGAAGAGAGAGCAGAAAGGAAGAAGCUAGGUAUUUCUUCCCACUUCUCUCAGCUUCAAGUAUUGUCUCUGGCAGCAGCCAUCUCUUCUAUGGACCCAGCUCUUGCUCCAAGAGUUUCUCUGGUUCCAGCUUCUCCCUGGUGGCCUGGCUCCUUUUGUCCCUUAAGCUUUAGGCAGUGGUAGUAGCUUUCUGCUCUUGAUAAUCUCAAGGAUACCUUACUCUCCCACUUUGGGCUUCUUACCUUUGUCAUCUCCUGGUAUUAAAUCUCUUCUUUAAAAUAUCAAGAAUAUUUAGAAUCCUGACUGAUAGAGGAAACUCUCACAUGGGAGAGCCUCAACCUUCCCAGAAAAGCAUGAGGGGAAUAAAUAUAAACAUGACUUGCAUAUCAUAAAUAUGGAAAAACUUCCAUUGAAUCUGUCACUGCUGUGUGCCUAUUCCCUCCUCUCACUGGGGCCUCCAGUCCCUCAAUCACCAGUGUUCUGGUCCACUUUUUAGCCUGGCUUGCCCUUCAUAUCCCUGGAAAUCAUGAACAAUCAUAUCAACAAUAUUCUAUUAGAAUUCUUGAUUUUCCUGCUGACUUGUCCUCCUGCUGUAGCUAUUCUGUCAGUCCCUAUCCUUAAGUACAAUAAAUUAUCUAUUUUCUCUCUUCCUGCUUUUUUUACUGGACAAAGGAACACUACCUGGCCCAAAUUUCUUCUGGGAUGUUUGCCCUGUUACUUAUAUCCAUUGUACCCAUUUCCAACAACCAUGCACCCAUGGCUUUACCCAGAGUCCCUGGAAUCUUUUCAGUUCAUGUAAACUUAAAAUUUAUGCAAAGGAAAUCCACUAAGGAUUGGAGACCAAAAAACAAAUGUAUGACAUCAUGCUAUAAUUUCACACACAGAGAAUUAUUUUAAAAAU